rnacentral:rRNA from 1 species
CGAACCGUGCGAACGUUGUUCGGAAUCACUGGGCUUAAAGGGCGCGUAGGCGGGUCUUUCAAGUCAGGGGUGAAAUCCUCCGGCUCAACCGGAGAAGUGCUUUUUGAUACUGGAGACCUCGAGUGAGGUAGGGGCAUGUGGAACUUCCGGUGGAGCGGUGAAAUGCGUUGAUAUUGGAAGGAACGCCGGUGGCGAAAGCGAGCUGCUGGACCUCUUCUGACGCUGAGGCGCGAAAGCUAGGGGAGCAAACGGGG